UACAGAGGUCUCAAGCGUUGUUCGGAUUUACUGGGCGUAAAGGGCGCGUAGGCGGCAAUUCAAGUCACUUGUGAAAUCUCCGGGCUUAACUCGGAACGGUCAAGUGAUACUGCUUUGCUAGAGUGCGGAAGGGGCAAUCGGAAUUCUCGGUGUAGCGGUGAAAUGCGUAGAUAUCGAGAGGAACACCUGAGGUGAAGACGGGUUGCUGGGCCGACACUGACGCUGACAGCGCGAAAGCCAGGGGAGCAAACGGG
rnacentral:rRNA from 1 species